AGAGUUCAACGGUGGCUAAGCAGCCAUAUUUUUCAACAGUUGUGUGCUCAUCAAUCAAACUUAAGUUGUUUUAAUCUCACAGAACCACAAGGCCUGCUGGCUUCCAUUGUUUUUGUCUAGUCAAGCAAUUUUACUCUUUCACGAACCACAAGGCCUGCUGGCUUCCAUUGUUUUUGUCUAGUCAAGAGCAAACUUCUGUGGGCAGCCAGUGGUAUCCAAGAGGGAAGGGACCUGGAUUGCUGUGGUUACUGCAGCUGCGUCUUAUUUUAUGUGGUCACCAUUUCUACUGUAUUUAAAAAUUUUGUAAAAUCAUUCUGCAUGUCCUUUAAUUUAUUAGUCAAUAAAGCCGCUUUCUCACAAGGUCAGGUUGUAUU